rnacentral:rRNA from 1 species
GACGUAGGUGGCAAGCGUUGUUCGGAAUCACUGGGCAUAAAGCGCACGUAGGCGGCUAUGUCAGUCGGGUGUGAAAGCCCUCGGCUCAACCGAGGAACUGCGCCCGAUACUGCAUGGCUUGAGGUCCGGAGGGGAGAGUGGAAUUCCCGGUGGAGCGGUGAAAUGCGUAGAGAUCGGGAAGAACGCCGGCGGCGAAAGCGACUCUCUGGUCGGAAUCUGACGCUGAGGUGCGAAAGCUAGGGGAGCAAACGGG